rnacentral:lncRNA from 1 species
UUCUAUUUGUUGUCGCAUUGCUGAAUUAGUUAUGUGUUUUCUCAUUGUUUUUUAUUUUUAUUUUUACUUUCUAUUAAGUUUAACAUGGCUGACCAAAGAACUCUAAGAGAACUUGUUUCCCCUGAUGUGAUUUAUAGUGCUUUGUGUAUUGAAUAUCUUGUUGUUGUUGUACCUUUCAAAUUGAAAUCUGGUUUAAUACACUUGUUGUCAA